rnacentral:lncRNA from 1 species
AUUUUUGCAGAGAUUUUCCCUGGUCAAGAGUGCAACAUGAGUCGUGGAUAUGAACUUUACUGUCAGAUGUACAUUGAUUGGAAAUUAAACAAGAUAUCUGCACUGAGAAUGAAUGAAGUUGAAGAAAGUUGAAAGGCACCCCAGAAGAACCUGAAUUAUUUUAGCCCAAUCCUAGAUUCAUUGAAUAUUUUAGUGUGUGAUAACAUGUGUGAAAUGUGAUCAAUUAUGUGACAAUUUUCAAAACUU